rnacentral:lncRNA from 1 species
UUUUACAUUAGGACUCCAGUGAAGCAGAUAUUGAGGGAAAUCCGAGACAAACAGGUAAAACGAAAGUCUCGUUUAAUAUCAAAAGCCGUGAUAGUCUUAUACGGGUUUUAAUGAAAUUGGUUGAUACCGGCUCAAUUAAUGGUUUAGCUGUUGUUAAAGGCUCCAUGGAGUACGACGAUAAAUAAAACAAUGCUCAGGUUUCAUGGUUAUUAUAUGGCUUAUAAAAGUAAGCAAACACAAGCGUAAAAGUAGAAGGCAAAUCAAUAGUAGAAGGAGGAAAAUCUUUUUAUGAAGAACUUUCUCGAGUUUUUAAAUAUAAAAAUAGUGACAUAUAUAAAGUGUAAAUAAUUUAUACCAGUAGUGUUAGAUGAGAUUUUUUAUAAAAAAAUUUGUUACAACUGU